UCUGUCUGUGAAAGUAUAAAAGUGUUACAUUUAAGUGGUGAAUAGGGAAUUUAAGUUUGAAAGAUGAUAUUAAGGUUCAAAUAUGUAAUGGAGACAUGGAGUUCUAACUGAGAUUAAAAAAAGAGCAAAAACAUAAAUAAAAUAGAACAAUGUCAUGACUUACUAAAUAUUAUUAAUAAGAUUUCAAAUUUCCCAUUUAAAGAAGGCACUCUAUACAUAAAGGAGGCUGAAGAUUUAUGUUUGAAUCAAUUGAGAGUAUAUUCGAGGUAUUUUUUAUUGUUUAUUAUUUUCAAUUAGUUAACAUGAUGAGAAAUCUUCUUAACUGAAAAUAAUUUCAAUUUAGUGACAACUCAGAAUAAAGUGGGCUCUCGAUCCAGUUUUAUUUUGGGAUGUCAAUCGAAGAAUAAGGUUUUUGUUAGCUGUCUAUUGGCCUUUUAUAGACCAUCACUGGAUCCAGAAAUUGAUCAGAUGAUCAGAGUUUCAGGUUUCGGAGUUGGCAUCAUACUCUUGGCAAUGCUAACUACAAAUUAGAUCGUAAGACGUGGGCUAAAAACUACAAUGUCAUCAAAUUUUGUAGAUACACUCUUGGCAUCAAGCACGCAAAGUACCACGAUAAAAAAAAGGAAGCACCUGGUGAUGUGUCCUGAUAAAAUUCAUGAAUUAUUUAUGGAAAAACGUGUUGAUGUUUUAAAUGAGAGCAUAUUGACCACGAGUCAAAUUUUUGGAAUUCAACCCACCUCUGUUCACGUCGUGAAAAGAUUGAAUCUAUAUGGAGGUCAUUAGCAAAUCAAAUCGGCCUAUAGGAUAUGUGAAAAAGGCCUAUAACUCCUCUCACUACCAAACAAUGAAGCUGGUCUACUCCUUUGGUUAUUCAAGAAAAUAAACAAAGCCCAAGACUAGCAUAAGCUUCAGCAACUUAAAGAGCCAAA